rnacentral:rRNA from 1 species
GACGAACGCUGGCGGCGUGCUUAACACAUGCAAGUCACGGGGGCCCGCAAGGGCAACCGGCGAACGGGUGCGUAACACGUGAACAACCUGCCCCUGUGUGGGGGAUAGCCAUGCUAACGCGUGGGUAAUACCGCGAUACGGGUUCUUCGGGGGGAGUCCCUGGAGAAAGAAAGCUCAGGCGCACGGGGGAGGGGUUCGCGGCCUAUCAGCUAGUUGGCGAGGUAACGGCUCACCAAGGCGACGACGGGGUAGCNGGUCUGAGAGGAUGGCCAGCCACAUUGGGACUGAGAGACGGCCCAGACUCCUACGGGAGGCAGCAGUGGGGAAUCUUGCGCAAUGGCCGAAAGGCUGACGCAGCGACGCCGCGUGUGGGAGGACGC